rnacentral:rRNA from 1 species
UUUUAUGGAGAGUUUGAUCCUGGCUCAGGAUGAACGCUGGCGGCGUGCCUAAUACAUGCAAGUCGAGCGAACAGACGAGGAGCUUGCUCCUCUGACGUUAGCGGCGGACGGGUGAGUAACACGUGGAUAACCUACCUAUAAGACUGGGAUAACUUCGGGAAACCGGAGCUAAUACCGGAUAAUAUAUUGAACCGCAUGGUUCAAUAGUGAAAGACGGUUUUGCUGUCACUUAUAGAUGGAUCCGCGCCGCAUUAGCUAGUUGGUAAGGUAACGGCUUACCAAGGCAACGAUGCGUAGCCGACCUGAGAGGGUGAUCGGCCCCACUGGAACUGAGACACGGUCCCGCCUCCUACGGGAGGCAGCAGUAGGGAAUCUUACGCAAU